CACAUCAAGCUCCCCUGACAAGAGGCAUUGAAUUCAGCUUCGGUCCCCUUAAGAGUCUGGCAUCCAGCAGUCUCUCGUGAACAUGCUGCUGACGUUACAAUGAGAAGGGUACAAAGCGAGGUGAUGGUGGCGAGCCAUGGGAAGGAUGUCAACAAGGUGGCUUAGCUAGCAGUGCCCAGUGUUCCCAUAACGGCCAAGGAGUGCCUGAAGAGGAGAGUGGAGAGUCAAACAUGGCAAAGGAUGACAACGGAGAACCGGGGGAAUGGAGGACUUCGCUCUCUGAGCAGACUCAGUGGACUUCAGUCAACAAGAUGAAUAGUUGGCCCGGGAUCAAAGGCAGACCCCAACCAGCCAUUCUGACCACCACAAAGGGGCGUUGGGCGCUGGCUUGGGGCCAGGUGCUACACAUGGCCACAUAGCCAGGGACAAGCCGUGCAGAUGGGGCCCCCAGAGCC